CUCCCCGGCACCUCACCUCUCCCCGGCACCGCACUUCUCCCCGGCACUUCACCUCUCCCCGGCACCGCACUUCUCCCUGGCACCGCACUUCUCCCCGGCUCCGCACUUCUCCCCGGCUCCGCACUUCUCCCCGGCACAGGGGCACGGCUGCUGGGGGCACCCACACCACCCACACCCCGCCGGCAGAGCUGCUGAGCCGUCUUCACCCUCCUUCUCUUAGCUCCCCACCGCGGCAAUCAGAAAUUAACGGGUUAACCUUUACAGAAGAGUGCGGAAAGGUGUAAGAGCACAUGUAAUCGUAACAACACUGGCCCGCCGAAGAGCCAGUUGUCAGAGGAGUGCUCAAAUAACUGCAGCCGUAUUUGUUCUAACCCAGAGCCAAUGAGUGUGUGUGCUAGAGCAGGCACAAAGUAUUGCAUGUUGGCUGUAUGCACAAAAGAACUGAUGAAAAAGUUUUGAAACUGGGCAUAGGAACACCAUAUGAGAAACGAACCCAAUAAUGUAUUUAAGAGAGUAUGUAGACAAGGUUUCUUCCCAAGAAAUAUGAAAACAACAAAAUAAACUCAAGGGAUACAAUAUUCAGUACCUCUCAAAGCACAUCAGAAAGCAGAAUCCAUCACUCACAAGUACCUCACCCUCAGGAUGCUGCUCACAAUCUCCCACUUCGAACUGCCACACUUCAAGAGUCUCUGACUGCCGUGGGGACCCGACUGACCACUUGGCUAAUUGAGAUCAUCUACAUGAUGCUAAGAGACUGGAGAAGAGUUGACUCAGCAAGCACACAGCAAAGGGCCUUGACCACUUGCCUUAAAAUGGGAGUGUCUUGGAGGCAAGACAAGAACUCUGCCGAACAGUG
rnacentral:lncRNA from 1 species